UGUAACGUGGAGCCUGGUCGCCCCAGCCCUGGAGAGGGGGACCCUGCCCGCACUCUCCUGGUCUGGGGAGGGCCUAGUGGCAGCCCGGGUGCAGUGGGCUGGUGGCCAAGGGAGCCCGUGUAGGGGAACCGCCUGGCGUCUGUUCAGCGUGCCCCUCCCCUGGGUGGGGCUUCAGGCGCUGAGUCACGGCUUUGGUUGGGGGGCAGCCUCACCCUCCUCCCCAUCCUCCAAGCUGCUGAGGAAAUCCUGGGCUGAGCACAGCAGAGGAGGCCUAGGUCCCUGGGACUGAGGGGGAGAGAGCUGAGGGGCUCCCAGCAAUGGGAGCAGCUCUCGGGGCCUCUGCCAGGGCCCACCCUGUCCCCAGGAGCACGUCCGUGAGCUCUUGGGUGCAGCCACCCCCGCUUGCUGGCUCUCCAGGGACACGGGCGCCCCAAACCCUAGGGCGGCAGCUCUGGGUGCAGCUGUCUCUGCAUCCGGCCCUGCUCAGGGGUGGCUGCAACUCCUGGGGUGUGGCGCUCUCUGCUGCCUUCUUCUGGGAGGAUGGUCCCUUCUCUGUUCUGGGAUCCUCCAGCUGAGGUAGAGGUCAGGGUCCAGGGGCUACGGGCUGGGUGCUGGUGGUCAGCGGACACCACAGUGAGAUUCCCUCCAUCACCCCCUGCUUCGGUAUUCAGAGUCCUCUUAGCCCCUUGGGAACAGGUGAGGGCUGCUCAGAGAGGACCUGGUAUCCUGCUGGGGUGGCUGGGACCCUUCAAGGUCCCUGGCUGGGGCAGCCUGGUGCCUGCGGCUCUAGCUCCUAAUUGAGGACACGCCCCAUGUAAACCGCAGGCCCCUCCCCCGAGGCUUGGGACACCCGUCAGGGUAGCAAGGUAUGAGGGACUGUAGGCCCCGAUGUCCUCUGCUCCUGGACCCCUGCCCUAGACCUGUCCCUGGAGUCCUGGCCUCAGCCCGGGCCCUGUGGUGCCCAAUCCCCAGGAGGCCAGAUGGCCCGGACAGCCAGUGAGCCGAUUGUGUGGAGGGCUGCCGGGAUCCUGGCCCUGUUUCCCUGUUUCCUGCUCCCGGAGGGGGUGGUCACGUGCCCGAUCCAUCUGCCUCCUGUCUUCCGGGGAUUCUCCCGCCGACGCUUCUCUGGUGAUGUCAUGCCUUAACCCUUCUCUCCCCAGGCAGCCCCACUGCCAGGCUGUCCUGGUGGGAGUGGGCUCUGAGGAGGACGGCCUACCCGUCUUUCCAGCUGACCGUGCCCCUUGCAGCUGUGAGGUUGGGGGAGCCGGGGGCGUCUCUCCCCAGCUGGUCUGGGUCCUCCUUGUGCUGCCAGGACCGAGAGCAGCCGCCCUACUGCCCCCACCCUGUCCCACAGUGCAUGGGCGCCAGACCUGGGUGGGCUGCAGUAGUGCAGAGGGGUGAGGGGAGGCGUCACAGGGUUGAGAGGCUCCAGAUGGGUCCAGGAUAGACUCUGAACUCCUAGAGGAGAGGCGGGUGAGGCUGGCUCAGCCCUUGGUGGGCACCGUCCCUGAGGGACUCCCAGUGGCCGGCUGUCCUGGCAGAGACUGGUCCAACCUUCUUCCCCGAGGGCACAGCAGCAGGCGUUACAGCCGGUUCUCCCUCUCCCUGCCUGGGGCUGGGGGGGCGGGGGGAAGCGCACUGAACCUGGUCCCAGUCCUGUCCCCGUAGCAGGCAGGCAUCUGUCUCCCAGCCCGUUUCCUGAAAGCCCCUUCCCAUGGUGGAGCCCCUCAGCGAGGUGCAGGGGGAGGCGAAGCCCUGAGGGGGCCGAGGCUGCAGGUGACCCCAGCCAGCCCCGUUCUUGCUUUAGGGCGACCCUUGACGAGGUGGAGACAGACGUGGUGGAGAUUGAGGCCAAACUGGACAAGCUGGUGAAGCUGUGCAGUGGCAUGGUGGAAGCCGGCAAGGCCUACGUCAGCACCAGCAGGCUGUUCGUGAGCGGCGUCCGCGACCUGUCCCAGCAGUGCCAGGGCGACACCGUCAUCUCGGAAUGUCUGCAGAGGUUCGCUGACAGCUUACAGGAGGUGGUAAACUACCACAUGAUCCUGUUUGACCAGGCCCAGAGGUCCGUGCGGCAGCAGCUCCAGAACUUUGUCAAAGAGGAUGUGCGGAAGUUCAAGGAGACAAAGAAGCAGUUUGACAAGGUGCGGGAGGACCUGGAGCUGUCCCUGGUGAGGAACGCCCAGGCCCCGAGGCACCGGCCCCACGAGGUGGAGGAAGCCACCGGGGCCCUCACCCUCACCAGGAAGUGCUUCCGCCACCUGGCACUGGACUAUGUGCUCCAGAUCAAUGUUCUGCAGGCCAAGAAGAAGUUUGAGAUCCUGGACUCUAUGCUGUCCUUCAUGCACGCCCAGUCCAGCUUCUUCCAGCAGGGCUACAGCCUCCUGCACCAGCUGGACCCCUACAUGAAGAAGCUGGCGGCCGAGGUGAGCCUUUGGGAGGGGUGGGGCUGGGCCAGGCCUCCGUGACCUUCCCUAAUGCCGCCCCCAACAGCUGGACCAGCUGGUGAUCGACUCUGCGGUGGAGAAGCGUGAGAUGGAGCGAAAGCACGCCGCCAUCCAGCAGCGGACGCUGCUGCAGGACUUCUCCUACGAUGAGUCCAAAGUGGAGUUUGACGUGGACGCGCCCAGUGGGGUGGUGAUGGAGGGCUACCUCUUCAAGAGGGCCAGCAACGCUUUCAAGACCUGGAACCGGCGCUGGUUCUCCAUUCAGAACAGCCAGCUGGUCUACCAGAAGAAGCUCAAGGAUGCCCUCACCGUGGUGGUGGACGACCUCCGCCUGUGCUCUGUGAAGCCGUGUGAGGACAUCGAGCGGAGGUUCUGCUUCGAGGUGCUGUCACCCACCAAGUGAGGAGGCCCAGCCCAGGGUGGGGCGGGGGGCGUACCUGCCCACCGGAGCUGACGCCCACCCCUCCACUGCCUGCAGGAGCUGCAUGCUACAGGCAGACUCCGAGAAGCUGCGGCAGGCCUGGGUCCAAGCUGUGCAGGCCAGCAUCGCCUCCGCCUACCGCGAGAGCCCCGACAGUUGCUAUAGCGAGAGGCUGGACCGCACAGCAUCCCCGUCCACGAGCAGCAUCGACUCCACCACCGACACUCGGGAGCGCGGCGUGAAGGGCGAGAGUGUGCUGCAGCGUGUGCAGAAUGUGGCCGGCAACAGCCAGUGUGGCGACUGCGGCCAGCCGGACCCCCGCUGGGCCAGCAUCAACCUGGGCGUGCUGCUCUGCAUCGAGUGCUCCGGCAUCCACAGGAGCCUGGGUGUCCACUGCUCCAAGGUCCGGUCCCUGACGCUGGACUCGUGGGAGCCAGAGCUGCUAAAGCUGAUGUGUGAGCUUGGAAACAGCGCUGUGAAUCAGAUCUAUGAGGCCCAGUGUGAGGGUCCAGGCAGCAGGAAACCCACAGCCAGCAGCUCCCGGUGAGGUGGGGUACAGUCUGUAUCAGUCAGGGAGCCCCAGCCUGGGGGCACAGCCUCAUGUUCAUCCCUGGUCCAGGCAGGACAAGGAGGCUUGGAUCAAGGACAAAUACGUGGAAAAGAAAUUUCUGCGGAAGGCGACCAUGGCACCAGCCCUGGAGGCCCCAAGACGCUGGAGGGUGCAGAAGUGCCCGCGGCCCCACAGCUCUCCCCGCGCUCCCACUGCCCGCCGCAAGGUCCGGCUUGAGCCCGUUCUGCCCUGUGUGGCCACUCUGUCCUCAGUGGGCACCCUGGAUCGUAAAUUCCGUCGAGACUCCCUCUUCUGCCCCGACGAGCUGGACUCGCUCUUCUCCUACUUUGACGCAGGGGCCGCGGGGGCUGGCCCUCGCAAGGGUGCGGAGUCGGAGGAGUCCAGCGGUGAGGCAGACGGGGACGCUGAGGCCGAGGCCUGGGGCCUGGCGGACGUGCGCGAGCUGCACCCGGGGCUCUUGGCGCACCGCGCAGCGCGUGCCCGCGACCUUCCUGCGCUGGCGGCGGCGCUGGCCCACGGGGCCGAGGUCAACUGGGCGGACGCGGAGGAUGAGGGCAAGACGCCGCUGGUGCAGGCCGUGCUAGGGGGCUCCUUGAUCGUCUGUGAGUUCCUGCUGCAAAACGGAGCGGACGUGAACCAAAGAGACAGUCGGGGCCGGGCGCCCCUGCACCACGCCACGCUGCUGGGCCGCACCGGCCAGGUUUGCCUGUUCCUGAAGCGGGGCGCGGACCAGCACGCCCUGGACCAAGAGCAGCGGGACCCGUUGGCCAUCGCAGUGCAGGCGGCCAACGCUGACAUCGUGACACUGCUCCGUUUGGCGCGCAUGGCGGAGGAGAUGCGCGAGGCCGAGGCUGCCCCAGGUCCCCCGGGCGCCCUGGGGGGCAGCAGCCCCACGGAGCUCCAGUUCCGCAGGUGCAUCCAGGAGUUCAUCAGCCUCCACCUGGAAGAGAGCUAGGGCCGGGCAGGCCGGGCAGCUGCCACCCCGCCCGGCCCGCCGCCCCGCAUGCCCCGAAGUCCCUGGUGCCCACCCGGCCGCGGCCCUGCCUGUGACCCGGGUCGAUGCCCGGCAGCCCCAGUGCCGGGGCGCCGCGGCCCCGCUCACCCAGGAGGAGAGCGAGGGCCCCGCACUGAGUCUCUUGAAGCCUCACGUUUCCCUAGGGGGGUGCUGCAUCGUCGGGUGCCCCUCACCCCACCUGGGGAACCUCUGUCUUCAGGUCACCCCUCUUCAGGAGCCUGGGUUGCUCAUGUCACAAGCCACUCUCAAGGCCCAUGUCACCUGUGUCCCUCUGUCCUCAGGGCCUGUGUUGUUUCGUGCCGCACUUCUGCUCAGAACACUGACCUGUUAGCUGGGUCCCUCCUGCACACCCCACAGCCUCCCCCCAGGGCAGAAAGGGUGGCCCAUCCAGGGAACCAACGAGUACCUCACUUAGUGACCCCAGCAUCCAGGCUGGCGUCGCGGGUGCUGGGCGGGAGGGGCUCUGGCCUGGGUCCUCAGCCCUGGCUGGACGCGGGCGUCCCAAGGCCACGUGGCUGGCCACGAAGGUCCCCGUGCCAGACAGCCCCAGCCUCGUCCCAGCCUCCUCCGGAGGCACCUUCUCCUGGUACUCGGCCCAGAGCCUGUGCAUAAAGCCACUUUGCCACUUUGCAGCCCGCAUCUCAUGUUCUUUGUAGCGGACCGAGUGGGUUUGCUAUAGGUCUCGUCUGACUUUGUCUUGCGUCUUUUCUCUGUGGACUCUUGAGGACGCCUGAGCCCCAGCCCUGCCCCUCACCAGCCUCCCCCUUGGAUCCAGGGGUCCCUCGGCUCAUAUUGCAGGGCCUGCCAAUGCCUUCACGCACCCCUUCCCCAUAGGCGCCUGGCAGGGAGGCAGGCAGGGCCUCCCCGACUUGGCGCAAGUCAGGCUAAGGCCAGUCGGCUGGUCACUAUGCAAUGUUGCCCUGGGGAGGCUCCCUGAGGGCACAGUGGGCGCUGGACCCGGACCCCCAACUCUCUUGCCUGCUGCUUGUGACCCUGAAGAACAGAAUUAAUUCUUGUCCCUCUCCCUAUGUGAGCUUGGCCCCGCCUCCCGCCCCAGGCCCCUGCUGGCGGGUCUCACCCCCCACCCCUCGCUUUGAAUAAACCGCUUGCGCCCAC
rnacentral:sRNA from 1 species